rnacentral:rRNA from 1 species
UAGGGAAUAUUAGAAAUGGACGAAAGUCUGAUCUAGCAACACCGCGUGUGCGAAGAAGGCCUUCGGGUUGUAAAGCACUUUUUGGAAGGAUUAGGAAGGAAUGUACUUCCAGAAUAAGUCUCGGCUAACUACGUGCAAGCAGCCGCGGUAACACGUAGGAGGCAAACGUUAUCCGGAUUUACUGGGCGUAAAGCGCGUGUAGGUGGUUCUGUAAGUAGGGGGUGAAAGCUCCUGGCUCAACUUGGAGAGGGCGUUCUAAACUGCAGAGCUAGAGGAUGGUAGAGGGAGGUGGAAUUCCGGGUGUAGCGGUGAAAUGCGCAGAUAUCCGGAGGAACACCAGUGGCGAAAGCGGCCUCCUGGACCAUUCCUGACACUCAGACGCGAAAGCUAGGGUAGCAAACG